rfam:Equus caballus chromosome 3, whole genome shotgun sequence.
AGAUGUGAGGACACUUUGGCUGCAACAUCUGUCACCUCAUUGAUCGCCAGGGUUGAUUUGGCUGAGCUGGCAGGCUGGGUGGGUGCCCCCCGCCUUUAUUCCCCUCCAUGUGCAUCCCUCGGCAAACUGCAUGCUCGGUGGAAGAGGAUGACCUUCCCAGAUAGAGGAGGAUCACUCUUUGGUCAAGGGUAUAGGAGUAGCCAUGCUUCCCUGCUAGAACCUCCAGACAAGCCCUGAAGGUCAUUUGUAGGAGAACAUAGGGUAAUCAAGCGUCCAUGACUCCAGACACAUCCAAAUGAGGCGCUGCAUGUGGCAGUCUGCCUUUCCCU